rnacentral:rRNA from 1 species
UGUUCUUUAAACCUAAAGAAUUUGGCGGUAUUUUAGUCUAUUCAGAGGAAUUUGUCCCUUAAUCGAUAGUCCCCGUUUUAUCUUACUUGGAUUUGUUUUCAGUAUGUAUAUCGCCGUUAUAAGUUUAUUUUUUUAGAAUUUUAAUUUACUUUAUAUUUUAUUUUAUGAUAUUUCAGGUCAAGGUGCAGUUAAUAUUUAAGUGGAGAUGAAUUACAAUAUUAUAUAAGUAAAUGGAUUUUUUGUUUAAAAUGUUAAUAAAAGUGGAUUUGAUAGUAAUUUUAUUAAUAGAAUUAUUUUGAUUUUAGCUCUAAAAUAAGUACACAUCGCCCGUCGCUCU